ensembl:lncRNA
UUACAGAUGCACAAGUGAGAGCAUCAAGUUGGCUGUAUCAUCGCAUGUAAGGCAACUAUACCGCCCGCAACUGCAGGGCUCUCCAGAGGGUGGUGCGGUCUGCCUAACACAUCCCCGGUGUUACACUGCCUCCUUUCCAGGACACCUACAGCACACGAUGUCACAAGAAGGCGAAAAAUAUUGUCAAGGACAACCACCAGAACAACGGCCUGUUCAACUGGCCAUCAUCCAGAAGGCAAGGUUCUUGUCGUAGCUGGCAGUGAUGUGACAACCAUCUGGGCUAAGGAGUAUGCAGAGGCCGAAGAUCCAACCCACUACUACAACCGCCGCUUCAGACUGGCGUGUCUUUGAGGACGCCAACAUCCUGGACAGUCUCCGGAGAAUCACCACCUUCAACAUCAAUGUGCCCCACAACCACAUUCAUGAGGAACCUUUUUGGGGAAUGGGAGGUCGAAGUAAGACAACUACCCAAUGGCUUGGGUGAAAGCGUAAUGUUUAUGCAACCCCCUUGUCGUCAGCUGAGAACAGCAGCUUCCCUAUGCUGGAUUUUUACCUCUAACAUCUUCCCUCGUGCACUCACUCCAUUGGAUUCUGGACAGGGCAAAAGAUCUGAGGAAAAGUAUUUGGACAUCUAAGAGAAUGCUUGUAUUUAAGCUUGUGUUGUGUUUAUGCAAAAAAUAUAUCCAUAACUACAGGCAAAUACUUCAAGACAAAAUAAACCAGAUCAAUAUAUAACUACUAAGGAAACGAGUAGUGGUGUUGAACUUUGAGUGUGCUUUGGUGGGUGACAUACAUAUGGUGCAUAUUUUUUCAAUCAGGCUUUCGUAAAAAAAACUGCACUAACACCACAUUGAACUGAUUGUGAUCCAAACUGAAGGCCAGGGGAUAGGUCAUAACCUACCUAGGUCAUAAUACAUGAUGCUGUGAUAUGAUGAAGGUCAGAUGUAACGAUUGCGUGUAGAGGGAACAUCUGAUGCAGCUCCUUUUGAGGGGGAAACACAGAGAAAGAACAUCCACAUCAAGGAAUAACUUCAACACAUGGCUUUUCACACCACACACUCACACUUCAUAUCUGAAACUUUUAAAUAGAAUGUUUUAACUUUUGACUGUCGUGGAAUAUUGCUGAUUCAAAGGAGAGAGACUUUUAUAUUUCUUCAAACAAUCCAUCUUUAUUAUCGAUUUAGGAAUUGAAUUAUUGAAGCUGGACAAUGACCAUCCGACGGUAAUCGUUGAGAACCCAACGAGCAUAACUGAGCCACAGCAUUUUAUAGCAAAGUACAUCCUCCUGAUUGUUCAUGACAAACAACAGGAGUAGAAUUAUACAAAGGUACAUAGUGCUAUCAAGCAAGAGACAGCAAUAUUUACACUGCACCAGGUUUCUGUCUCUGUCAUUUACUGCUUGUAUAUACAGAAAUUCCCUCAAAUAAUGAAGUCCAGUGUUCAUCUGCAAUGUGGGAGAAAUAAACUGGAGGGUGGGUUUGCCUGGCACUGGCAGACUGGCCAACAUUUCACAGACACUAAUCAUGGAAUGGAAUGCAGUCUUUGGGUUUUAUCACCAAGGCAUCAUAAAUCAACUGUCAGCAUGAAGCCUCGGAGGCUCCUCUUAGAAGAACAGACAGUGUGAAAGUACUAAUAUA